GACGUAGGGCGCGAGCGUUGUCCGGAUUUAUUGGGCGUAAAGAGCGUGUAGGCGGCUAGAUAGGUCCGUUGUGAAAACUCGAGGCUCAACCUCGAGACGUCGAUGGAAACUAUCUGGCUAGAGUCCGGAAGAGGAGAAUGGAAUUCCUGGUGUAGCGGUGAAAUGCGCAGAUAUCAGGAAGAACACCCGUGGCGAAGGCAGUUCUCUGGGACGGUACUGACGCUGAGACGCGAAAGCGUGGGGAGCGAACAGG
rnacentral:rRNA from 1 species